GGAAGAGUCCGCGAGGUCAGGAGUAGAAGUAGGGGAAGGAGGAGGGGUUUGCAAGCAAGGAGGACUUGAGAGGGAGAACAGGAGGAGCAGAGAGCAGGGUGCUGUUCGAGAAGGCUAAAACCUUCAACUGCAGGGAAUCUCCCUCCACUUUUUCAGAUGCUGGCAAUAGUUAAAAAGGUCCCGGAGAAGAUUUGGAUCAUAGCCUUCUGGAGGCCAAUGAUUGCCAUUAUCCAGAGGAUAUAUAGGCCAAUAUUGGGUACACAAUUUGAUCAGAAAUUGGGUUUGAUAUCUGGUGUGUGAGAGAGUGUGGUCAGAUUUUUUAUUAGACAUUUAAGAGGCGAGGUUUCAGGUAUAGACAAGGAGGCACCCAUGGUCACAGAAAGAGAUGGAGAGAGAGAGAGAAUCUUCGGGCCAGAAUGAUCAGCAAGGGCUAAAAGGGCGUCCCCUUUUAGGACCUUGGGGAUCGAAGAGACUCUAGGAAGAGCCAGGAAACGGGAGGCAGUGAGGGUCGUCACCCGAACUGCAACUCUCGGGAGGCAAAAAGCCGGAGGCAAAAGCCGGAGGCCACGAAGAACCUAGUACUAGGAUUUACUGGUUAUGGAAGGAGGAGAAGGAAGAAACAGAGGGGUCUCUCGCCUGCACCUAGAAGCCUCACUCCCCAAAAGGAGAACGGGUCAUCAGAGAGUCCACUGCGGCUGUAAAAACCUUAGUGGGGUGGGGUCUCUCUAUCGGGCGUCAGGAGUGUGCCGCACGAUCACGGUCGCAGUUCCUGCUGUAGCCCGAAGAGGGUCACGAGCCAGGAGGGGAACUUACCUAAGCCCGAUCAGUGGUGGGUGUAAGGAGCCUGCGUCUGAAAAGGCGGACGAGGGUGAGAUGUCUCGGCAGAGCCGGAGACAGGGCUCUGUUAAAAUGCUCACCCGUCUCCCAGGUUUCGGCAUCAAUGAAAGAAACGACACAAGACAAAUCACCGGAGGAAUUCCACUUUAUUACA
rnacentral:lncRNA from 1 species